UAAGUGCAUAGUAAUGUUCAAAGCACCAUACCAGUGACUACUCGAUUAGCCUACAGUUAUUGACACGCCAUAAUUAUUUGAUUAACACUUAUACGGGAUCUUUCGUUUCCUCGCAACCGUUGUUGUAGCUACCCUGAUGAGAUGGAUGUUGGAUUACAUUGCGAGUCACCUUUUUGUUUAUCUUUGACAGGCACAAAAAUACCACUCUCGCUUUCUCGUCGCACCCAAGAGAAUGAAAGAGGAUACACUAUGAUGAGAAUUCUGGAAGAAAAACGACGAAAAUCGCUGCUAAGAGCAAAACGCCGCAUAAAAAGUCAUUCAAAUCUUAGAGACGAGACACGUGUUGAUGUUGACACUGCUGUUGCUAUGAAGCAGUAUACAUCUAGCCUAGAUACGUUGUGUGAGCGAGAAACACAACCAUCACUGGCAAUCUCCUCACUGACUGACAUAGCAAGUUACUCAUCACACCACAGGAUGGAUCAGACUCGACGUCAUACUCUGUACAGUCGCUCUGUUGAGGAUCUGAAAGACUCAUAUCAACGUGUAUAUACGAAUAACUCUACGGCACCAUCAGUAGGACAGAAGAGGAAGAAGUCUCGAAGGAAAACGAGUGCUAAAGAUUUACUAACAAGCAAUUCUCUUGUUUUACCUGUCAACAGAGAGAGGAAACCUCGUCUACCAAUCGAUAUGCUUAUUUUGAAACAAUGUCCUGUUAAUCGAAAUCCCAACCAUUUACCUUUGAUCUCAUCUCACGGACUGAUUGUUCAAAGUGUCGUUCCUUUACUGUCUAUCAAGGAAGAGAGGAGUCCCGAACAGAACUGUAAACUAAGAGGAAAAGCCAAAGUGUUUCUAUCAGAAAGACAAUCGCAGAUGCUGAAGUAUGAGGGCAUUCCGGCUGCGCCUCCCUGCACUCCUACAAGAGAGCACCUCGAGAGACACGACUACAUUGCUUCCAUGUCAGACGUUCGAAGUCAAAGACUCGUGAAAACUCGUCUGGCUGCUUUUGGAGAGAAACUGGAACAGCAGAAGACUAAAGCUGACGAAGAAGCUCGAAUUCUUGCAAAGAAAAUUCAUUUGCAAUCAAUUGCUGCUCUCAAGUCACAACAGAGAGCCGAAAUUUAUGCUCUGAACAAAUUGAUGACCGACCUCGAACACGAAAACUUUCUCCGCUUUUGCCAAGAAAAACGCGACGAUUCACAAGGUGUGUCAGCGCACGCGCAUUGCGACUAAUACAAAUACACGAGUGUCCCGUCUCGCCGGUUCGAAAACCGUCAUUCAUAGCUCGGCAUCUGUGGCGGCGUUCGCGUGAGACAUGCAGACCAUCAAGUGCGUCGUAGUCGGCGAUGGAGCCGUCGGGAAGACGUGCCUACUCAUUUCUUACACGACGAACAAGUUUCCGAGCGAGUACGUCCCGACG